GACGGGGGGGGCAAGUGUUCUUCGGAAUGACUGGGCGUAAAGGGCACGUAGGCGGUGAAUCGGGUUGAAAGUGAAAGUCGCCAAAAACUGGCGGAAUGCUCUCGAAACCAAUUCACUUGGGUGAGACAGAGGAGAGUGGAAUUUCGUGUGUAGGGGUGAAAUCCGCAAAUCUACGAAGGAAGGCCAAAAGCGAAGGCAGCUCUCUGGGGAGUCACUGACGCUCGGGUGCGAAAGCUAGGGGAGCGAACGGG
rnacentral:rRNA from 1 species